rnacentral:rRNA from 1 species
UACGUAGGGUGCGAGCGUUAAUCGGAAUUACUGGGCGUAAAGCGUGCGUAGGCGGUCCCGCAAGUCCGCUGUGAAAGCCCCGAGCUUAACUUGGGAACUGCAGUGGAAACUAUGGGGCUUGAAUCCGGCAGAGGGGGGUGGAAUGCCACGUGUAGCAGUGAAAUGCGUAGAGAUGUGGCGGAACACCGAUGGCGAAGGCAGCUCGCUGGGACGUUACUGACGCUGAGACGCGAAAGCGUGGGGAGCAAACAGG